rnacentral:rRNA from 1 species
UACGUAGGCAGCAAGCGUUGUUCGGAAUUACUGGGCGUAAAGAGUGUGUAGGCGGUGCUCUAAGUUCGGUGUGAAAUCUCCCGCUUAACUGGGAGGGUGCGCCGGAAACUGGAGUGCUUGAGCGCGGGAGAGGAAAGCGGAAUUCCUGGUGUAGCGGUGAAAUGCGUAGAUAUCAGGAGGAACACCGGUGGCGAAGGCGGAUCUCUGGGCCGAUACUGACGCUGAGGAGCGAAAGCGUGGGGACGCAACAGG